GAUGAACGCUGGCGGCGUGCCUAAUACAUGCAAGUCGAGCGAACAGACGAGGAGCUUGCUCCUCUGACGUUAGCGGCGGACGGGUGAGUAACACGUGGAUAACCUACCUAUAUGACUGGGAUAACUUCGGGAAACCGGAGCUAAUACUGGAUAAUAUAUUGAACCGCAUGGUUCAAUAGUGAAAGACGGUUUUGCUGUCACUUAUAGAUGGAUCCGCGCCGCAUUAGCUAGUUGGUAAGGUAACGGCUUACCAAGGCAACGAUGCGUAGCCGACCUGAGAGGGUGAUCGGCCACACUGGAACUGAGACACGGUCCAGACUCCUACGGGAGGCAGCAGUAGGGAAUCUUCCGCAAUGGGCGAAAGCCUGACGGAGCAACGCCGCGUGAGUGAUGAAGGUCUUCGGAUCGUAAAACUCUGUUAUUAGGGAAGAACAAAUGUGUAAGUAACUAUGCACGUCUUGACGGUACCUAAUCAGAAAGCCACGGCUAACUACGUG
rnacentral:rRNA from 1 species